UACGUAGGGUGCGAGCGUUGUCCGGAAUUAUUGGGCGUAAAGAGCUCGUAGGCGGUUUGUCACGUCUGCUGUGAAAUCCCGAGGCUCAACCUCGGGCCUGCAGUGGGUACGGGCAGACUGGAGUGCGGUAGGGGAGGAUGGAAUUCCUGGUGUAGCGGUGGAAUGCGCAGAUAUCAGGAGGAACACCGAUGGCGAAGGCGGUUCUCUGGGACGGUACUGACGCUGAGACGCGAAAGCGUGGGGAGCGAACAGG
rnacentral:rRNA from 1 species